GGCCUGUCCUACUUGGUCGUUAUUUUCACGUCACGCAGGUGGUGAGCGAGGAUUUUGAGCAUCCCAAAAUUCUGGGGCGCUGCGCGCUACUGCGCGUCACUGCAUACGCCACCACGUCUCAUCACGCGGCAUGCGCGUCAUGAGCACGUGCCGGGUAAAUUAUGUUGCAUA